AAAGCGCUAUAUUUUGGUAUGAUAUCAAACUAGAAAAAUACACAUAAAAUGUUUUACUUUUUGUAAUUGUAUAAAUAUUAAAUUUGUUAAUAUUUUCAUUUUUCACCGGCUUUCGUUUGGAGUCGAAAACUUGCGCUAUUGUCCACUGUAGCGCUGAAUGUACAGCUGCAUGGUGGUAGGCGUCCAUAGCCGAGUGAAUAUGAAUAAUGACAGACUAAUGAGCAAUGAGUCAUCACGAAGCGUGGAGGCAAAUUUGCUUAUCACAAACGCUACCGCUACGGUUUACGGACAUUUUUUUUAGCGCAUCCCGCAUCUGUUUGGCGACUGGUGACAGGAUAAAUAAUAUACCCACCUUGUAUUAUGUUGAUAGUUCGGUUCCAAACAAACGCGGUGUGUGUGUAUCAUUCGAGAGUUUAAAAAGUUGUAUAAUAUUCAACCGCGUUUAAAUGUGCGUUUUGUAGACUGCCGAUUUCUGUAUUUUUUCUUCUAACUGUACCUACCGAAAUCGGAUUGUCGUCGGUCAUCCGUACUUGUGCACGUUUUCUCAGUAAACUCAUAUGUAUUAUAAGUAAACAAAAAGGCACUUAAGACGCCGGCCGAGAUUUUCACCAUUGCAAAUUUUCGCAUGUAUACAAUUUUCGACAUUGUUUUCCGGUCGUUACGAGAUGAAAUUGAUUUUGUUAUAAGAAUAAAGAAGUUUUUGAAAUUAUGGAACUAGAAGAGGUUCCUGUUCUUCGUCCGAGAAUGGCACCUCCUCACUUAAUGCGUCCUCGACUGCAAGGAUACCCGCCUAGAACUGUUAUGAUGAGAAACUUACCACCUGGGUUUUUACCACGACCUUUUCGCCAUCCGUCUCGAAUGAUGAGACCCCAUAUGUUGCCUGUAAUAAAUGCUAGAGGAAUGUUGUCUAGAAUAUCACCAAUGAGAAAUAUGUUAUUACCUCCUCAUGUACUGCGUAAUAUACCAUCUCAUUUGAGACCUAUACCGCCUGGAGUGAAAUUAAUACCUUCAAGCGGUAUGAAACAUGGACUGCAUAACAUUUCAAAUACAGAAAUUCCAAUUGAUCGCAAUGGUGUUGAUGAAUAUGAGAUUAAAGUACAAUCAUCCGAAAAUCCAAAAAGUUUAUUACAACAGAAAACUACACCUCCGUCAUUAAUGUCUCAAACUUUUUCCAAGCCUCUAAUCAAUUCUAAUAAAGGUCGUCAUAAUAAAAAUAAUAGAGGUGUAGCCAAUAAUCAAAUUAAUGAUAUUGUUCAAAUUACAACGACUGGUACUAGACAUCCGAGUGGCACAAAUAAACAUAACAACGGACCAGCUAAAAGAUUAUUGACUCAGGUGCAUCAAGUCAAAAAACUAAAGUCAAUGGACUACAAUAACGAUAGAUCAAUGGAUCAUCAUAACAAUAGAACAUUGAAUCAUCAUAAUAACAGACAGAUAGAUUAUAAAAAUGGUGGUUACCAACAACAAAUGCAAAAUCAUUCAAACACACAAAAUGUUCGUCGGAAUGAACAAAAUUUGUUUUCGCGGCAUAAUGAACAACCUUCUAUCAACCCAGGGUCUCAACAGUAUCCUCAGCAAUACAAUGCCCACCCUCAGGUCUAUGAGCAACCACAACAACAGAUGUAUAACCAAGCACAAGAAUCGCAGUAUAAUAAUCAGCAACAAAUGCAACAGCAAGUUCCGUACGAUCAAUCACAGCAGUAUAACCAAACACAGCGUUAUGAUACAACACAGCAAUAUGACCAACAGCAGCAACCAUAUGGUCAUCCACCCCAGCAAUAUAAUAACACCUCGAUGCUGCAGACUUACCAGCAACCACCACCACAAACAAUGGAUUCUUCUUACAAUGCGAAUUACAACAAUGCUAAUAAUUCACAAAGUUAUAAUCCAUUGCCUACUCAACCAGCGGCACCACAAGCACAAAACCAGUAUGAUUACACUCAGCAACAACCGUAUAAUCAAGCAGCAACUAAUUACACAAAUCAGCCGUCCUACGGGGGUACGUAUGGGCAGUAUGAUCAACAGCAAAGCAAUUAUACUGCAUACCAAAAUCCACAAGCACAAUAUGACUCAAAUCAGGCGACAGGCUAUUCUCAACAAACAGCGCCUUAUGUAGCUGAAAACAAUUAUUCGAAACCAGAAGAAAAUUAUUCUAAUUACAAUUAUGGAACUUCAACACAAACUGCGACACAGUACCAAGGUCCUACUAACUCUUCUUAUCAGACAGACAUGUAUUCAAAAACCGACACUGCUUAUGGUUAUAGACCACCAUAUUGAAGACUUAAAGGAUAAAAUGUUUUAUAUUUUUGAUUUUCAAUUUCUUUUGGACUGAAUCGAGGGAGGAAUAUUGCGUUGUCGCCAUUGGGGUUUCAAUGACACGUGUUGUGAAAUAAGUGGCAAGUCAAUGGAAUUUUAAGGUCAUUGUGAGGAGUCUUCAUUUCGAUUUGAUGCCCAAGCCAUUUCGUGCAAUGAUGGUGUCAUCCGUACCUAUACUGUGAAAAAGUUCGGGUAAAAUUUAUAAUAAUAGUACUUCUAUUAAUAAUAUUUGUUUUUUCAGGGAUGGCUUUUUAUUUGGUGAAAACAUACACCAAUCGACAACUAGUAUUAAUUUGUUGCAAUGCAAGUUAUCCCCACAUUUACUACUUAAAUGUAAUUGGAAUUCUGUCAGUCGUGUGCUUCGUUCGAUAUAUUUUAUGAAUUAUUAUCACUGUAGCUGCACUUGUGACUGUAAACGCAAUAAACUCAAUUGUGUUGUCAGCGACUUGUGUACUUAAUC